GGAAUAUUGCACAAUGGGCGCAAGCCUGAUGCAGCCAUGCCGCGUGUAUGAAGAAGGCCGUCGGGUUGUAAAGUACUUUCAGCGGGGAGGAAGGCGGUGGGGUUAAUAACCUCAUCGAUUGACGUUACCCGCAGAAGAAGCACCGGCUAACUCCGUGCCAGCAGCCGCGGUAAUACGGAGGGUGCAAGCGUUAAUCGGAAUUACUGGGCGUAAAGCGCACGCAGGCGGUCUGUCAAGUCGGAUGUGAAAUCCCCGGGCUCAACCUGGGAACUGCAUUCGAAACUGGCAGGCUAGAGUCUUGUAGAGGGGGGUAGAAUUCCAGGUGUAGCGGUGAAAUGCGUAGAGAUCUGGAGGAAUACCGGUGGCGAAGGCGGCCCCCUGGACAAAGACUGACGCUCAGGUGCGAAAGCGUGGGGAGCAAACAGGA
rnacentral:misc_RNA from 1 species